CUCCAGGUAUGGGAAGGAACUCGUGUCUGCUGCCGUCGAGCUGCGAAACAAUUGCUGUGUCGAUCCUAAGGUAGCUCUGGUUCAAACACUUCGCACUUCUUCAGGUGUUGUGCAGUCCCAUCUCAUCUUGUUGCUUUUGGAUCUCCUGCAGAUGAUUCAGAAACUGUCAACCAGGCAACCAAGCUUGGAAAUUAGGCACAGGGUGAUAAAGGAGAUUGCCGCUGAGAUAGGCAUCAAGCUGGAAUUCUCCGAGUCUUCUGAAACUGCAGAGGUUUGUAUUCUUGUUUUGUGUCGAGUGCACAAAAUGAAGCGAACUAAAAAAAAAAUGGCACCUUUGAUUCAGGGGAAUUCGAUGGUCAGCCCACCAACUCAUCUCAACCUGGAGCAACUUGAAUCGGAUGAUAAUCCUGCAUUUAGGAGCCAUCAGAAGUAUGAUGAUGUGGCCAGUGCAGCACAGGCUGCCUUUGAGUCAGCUGCUUUUGCUGCGGCAGCUGCAAGGGCUGCAGUGGAACUCUGUCGAUCGGAGUCCCAAGAAAAAGGCUCUGCUGAUGAGAGUAAAGCUGGUAGCCAGAAGAGAAGUGAUAUCAACGGAUCCGAGAGUGUUGAGAUUGAGAAUUCUGCUGACAGCAAAAACUUUGAGAAGAUCCACCAUGAUCAGAACUCUGGCUCGGAUUCAGAUGAGGGAAUGAAAGCAAAACAGGAUGAUUUGCUUCACAAGGAAAGAAUCAGGGAGAGGUUCGAGAUGCAGCUACAGAGAUCAUCUUCGUCGAUCUCAGAUGCCAGUGACGAAGAUAAUGCAGGUUCGAGUGAGCAGCACUCAGCAGGAUUCAGAGGAAAGAAUAUUUUGUUUGAU
rnacentral:lncRNA from 1 species